UCAGGAUAAACGCUGCGGCGCACAUAAGACAUGCAAGUCGAACGGACUUAACCUAUUAGUUUUACGUUAUUGGUAGCGGUUAGGUGGCGGACUAGGUGAGUAACACGUAAGUAACCUGCCUAUCAGAGGGGAACAACAGUUAGAAAUGACUGCUAAUACCGCAUAUGCCAUAACCAUCGCAUGAUGGAAGUGGGAAAGGAGAAAUCCGCUGAUAGAUGGACUUGCGACUGAUUAGAUAGUUGGUGGGGUAAAGGCCUACCAAGUCGACGAUCAGUAGCCGAACUGAGAGGUUAAACGGCCACAUUGGGACUGAGAUACGGCCCAGACUCCUACGGGAGGCAGCAGUCGGGAAUAUUGCGCAAUGGAGGAAACUCUGACGCAGUGACGCCGCGUGCAGGAAGAAGGUUUUCGGAUUGUAAACUGCUUUAGACAGGGAAGAAAAAAGACAGUACCUGUAGAAUGAGCUCCGGCUAACUACGUG
rnacentral:rRNA from 1 species